UCACGGAGAUCCUUCCCUGAGAGUGCCACCUGCAGCCAGUGGCUGACACCAGCCUGCACCUCUGGAUUCAGUGUUUACUUGGUGCCAGAGAUGGUGGGACUCAUGAUAAUCUUAUUUCAAGAGAAGCUGUAGUGGGUAGCCAUUCCAGCUUUGAUCUGGAAGUUCCAACCCCCAUUGAGACUUCGGCAACUGUCACGCCUACAAGGCGGGGCGAAAGGAGGCGCCUGGGGACCUGAGAUCUGGAUCGGCGGGCUCGCUCUCUGUUGCGGGACCCUGGACUGGAGAGGUGUACCAAGCAGAGCUCCAGAGAACACCGCUGGACUGCGAUACACCUUCCCCAGACUCCGCGACCUACCUAUCCCUUAAUUUUCUUUCAACUGGACUCCUGGAGCUUGGCCUGGUGCUUAGCUGUGGAUCUCUGCAUCUACUUCCAUCAGUUACUGGAUGAAGGCUCUAUGAUGACAGUUAGGGUAUUCACUACUCUGAUUACCAGGGUAGGCCAGUUCAGGCACCCUCUCAACUAUUGCUAGUCUAAGGAAAUUAAGAGACAAUCAGAAAUCAACCUCAAAGAAAAUCCUGUCUGGACUUCUCAUCUGGAAAAUGCCCCCACAUUGGUAAAGAAACAAAGCUAUACUUGCACAGACUUUUCCAGAGGACAGACAAUAAGAAAGAAUCCACAAACAAAAUUUUGAAGACCUAAUUCACUACACCUGAAAUCCUGGAAGUACCACGUAAGACAGGACAGAACAAUCCAAUUCUUCCUUGACAUAUUUGUGCAAAAUUCUGAACUGUAUCUAACAGGUCUCCACGCAAAAGAAAAAACCUGAAAAAAAUUACAACACAUCAUGACCAUGCCA